AGGAUUAUAGUUUAUAAAAAAAACAUUUGAUUUGCAAUCAAAAAAUAUUGAAAUUUCAAUUUAUCUUA
rnacentral:tRNA from 1 species